GACGAACGCUGGCGGCGUGCUUAACACAUGCAAGUCGAACGGAAAGGCCCUGCUUUUGUGGGGUGCUCGAGUGGCGAACGGGUGAGUAACACGUGAGUAACCUGCCCUAGACUUUGGGAUAACUUCAGGAAACUGGGGCUAAUACCGGAUAGGAGCUCCUGCUGCAUGGGGGGGGUUGGAAAGGUUCGGCGGUUGGGGAUGGACUCGCGGCUUAUCAGCUUGUUGGUGGGGUAGUGGCUUACCAAGGCUUUGACGGGUAGCCGGCCUGAGAGGGUGACCGGCCACAUUGGGACUGAGAUACGGCCCAGACUCCUACGGGAGGCAGCAGUGGGGAAUAUUGCACAAUGGGCGGAAGCCUGAUGCAGCAACGCCGCGUGCGGGAUGACGGCCUUCGGGUUGUAAACCGCUUUCGGCUGGGACGAAGCGUGAGUGACGGUAACGGGUAAAGAAGCACCGGCUAACUACGUG
rnacentral:rRNA from 1 species